rnacentral:rRNA from 1 species
ACGGGAGGCAGCAGUCGGGAAUAUUGCGCAAUGGAGGAAACUCUGACGCAGUGACGCCGCGUAUAGGAAGAAGGUUUUCGGAUUGUAAACUAUUGUCGUUAGGGAAGAAAUUUGACAGUACCUAAGGAGGAAGCACCGGCUAACUAUGUGCCAGCAGCCGCGGUAAUACAUAGGGUGCAAGCGUUAUCCGGAUUUAUUGGGUGUAAAGGGUGCGUAGACGGGAAUUUAAGUUGGUUGUGAAAUCCCUCGGCUCAACUGAGGAACUGCAACCAAAACUGAAUUUCUUGAGUGUCGGAGAGGAAAGUGGAAUUCCUAGUGUAGCGGUGAAAUGCGUAGAUAUUAGGAGGAACACCGGUGGCGAAGGCGACUUUCUGGACGAUAACUGACGUUGAGGCACGAAAGUGUGGGGAGCAAACAGGAUUAGAUACCCUGGUA